AUUGAACGCUGGCGGCAUGCUUUACACAUGCAGGUCGAACGGUAACAGGGUGCUUGCACCGCUGACGAGUGGCGAACGGGUGAGUAAUGCGUCGGAACGUGCCGAGUAGUGGGGGAUAACGCAUCGAAAGGUGUGCUAAUACCGCAUACGUACUGAGGUAGAAAGGGGGGGACCUUCGGGCCUCACGCUAUUCGAGCGGCCGACGUCUGAUUAGCUAGUUGGUGAGGUAAAGGCUCACCAAGGCGACGAUCAGUAGCGGGUCUGAGAGGAUGGUCCGCCACACUAGGAGUGAGACACGGCCCAGACGCCGACGGGAGUCAGCAGUUGGGAAUUUUGGACAAUGGGCGCAAGCCUGAUCCAGCCAUGCCGCGUGUCUGAAGAAGGCCUUCGGGUUGUAAAGGACUUUUGUCCGGGAGCAAAUACCCAGUGCUAAUAACGCUGGGGGCUGAGAGUACCGGAAGAAUAAGCACCGGCUAACUACGUGCCAGCCGCCGCAGUAAAAC
rnacentral:rRNA from 1 species